GGGGAUGUUUGCAUUUGGAUUGAGACACGUACAAACCUUAUCGAUAAAAAUUGGAGGGCAAGUCUGGUGCCAGCAGCCGCGGUAAUUCCAGCUCCAAUAGCGUAUAUUAACGUUGUUGCAGUUAAAAAGCUCGUAGUUGAAAUGAAGGGUGGUUGUGUAAUGAAUACAUUCGUGUAUUUUGUUAUUCUACUACCCUCCUUCUAAAUUCGAUAUAUGAGUAUUAAUUUACUUGUAUAUGGUUUUAGACCUUUACUGUGAGAAAAUUAGAGUGUUCAAAGCAGGCAUUUGCUUGAAUAUAUUAUCAUGGAAUAAUCAUGUAUGAUUUUCAUGAUGUAUUUGAUUGGUUUGGUUCAUGAGAAUAAGAUUAAAAGGGACAGUUGGGGGUAUUCAUAUUCAAUAGUCAGAGGUGAAAUUCUCGGAUUUAUGGAAGAUGAACUAGUGCGAAAGCAUUUACCAAGGAUGUUUUCUUAAUCAAGAACGAAAGUUAGGGGAUCGAAGAGGAUUANAUACCCUCG
rnacentral:rRNA from 1 species